rnacentral:rRNA from 1 species
UGGGCGUUAAGUUGCAGGGUAUAGACCCGAAACCCGGUGAUCUAGCCAUGGGCAGGUUGAAGGUUGGGUAACACUAACUGGAGGACCGAACCGACUAAUGUUGAAAAAUUAGCGGAUGACCUGUGGCUGGGGGUGAAAGGCCAAUCAAACCGGGAGAUAGCUGGUUCUCCCCGAAAGCUAUUUAGGUAGCGCCUCGUGAAUUCAUCUCCGGGGGUAGAGCACUGUUUCGGCUAGGGGGCCAUCCCGGCUUACCAACCCGAUGCAAACUGCGAAUACCGGAGAAUGUUAUCACGGGAGACACACGGCGGGUGCUAACGUCCGUCGUGAAGAGGGAAACAACCCAGACCGCCAGCUAAGGUCCCAAAGUCAUGGUUAAGUGGGAAACGAUGUGGGAAGGCCCAGACAGCCAGGAUGUUGGCUUAGAAGCAGCCAUCAUUUAAAGAAAGCGUAAUAGCUCACUGGUCGAGUCGGCCUGCGCGGAAGAUGUAACGGGGCUAAACCAUGCACCGAAGCUGCGGCAGCGACACUCAGGUGUUGUUGGGUAGGGGAGCGUUCUGUAAGCCUGCGAAGGUGGCCUGUGAGGGUUGCUGGAGGUAUCAGAAGUGCGAAUGCUGACAUAAGUAACGAUAAAGCGGGUGAAAAGCCCGCUCGCCGGAAGACCAAGGGUUCCUGUCCAACGUUAAUCGGGGCAGGGUGAGUCGACCCCUAAGGCGAGGCCGAAAGGCGUAGUCGAUGGGAAACGGGUUAAUAUUCCCGUACUUGGUGUUACUGCGAAGGGGGGACGGAGAAGGCUAUGUUGGCCGGGCGACGGUUGUCCCGGUUUAAGCGUGUAGGUGUGUGUUCCAGGUAAAUCCGGUU